AUUGAACGCUGGCGGCAUGCCUUACACAUGCAAGUCGAACGGCAGCACGGGAGCAAUCCUGGUGGCGAGUGGCGAACGGGUGAGUAAUAUAUCGGAACGUGCCCAGUCGUGGGGAUAACGUAGCGAAAGCUACGCUAAUACCGCAUACGAUCUAUGGAUGAAAGCGGGGGAUCGCAAGACCUCGCGCGAUUUGGAGCGGCCGAUAUCAGAUUAGGUAGUUGGUGAGGUAAAGGCNCACCAAGCCGACGAUCUGUAGCUGGUCUGAGAGGACGACCAGCCACACUGGGACUGAGACA
rnacentral:rRNA from 1 species